rnacentral:rRNA from 1 species
GCCUACAUACCCUAAAAGCAUCAAAUCCCAUCUAAUCUUGGAAGCUAAGCAGGGUUGACUUUGGUUAGUACUUGGAUGGGAGACUGCCAAUGAAUACCAGACACGGAAGGCU